rnacentral:rRNA from 1 species
CCUACGGGAGACAGCAGUGGGGAAUAUUGGGCAAUGGACGAAACUCUGACCCAGCAAUGCCGCGUGCAUGAAGAAGGUCUUCGGAUUGUAAAGUUCUUUAGUCAGGGAAGAAUACAAUGACGGUACCUGACGAAUAAGCUCCGGCUAACUACGUGCCAGCAGCCGCUGUAAUCCGUAAGGAGCACGCGUUGUUAGGAAUGACUGGGCGUAAAGGUUUCGUAGGCGGUAAUACAAGUUAGAAGUGAAAUACCCAGGGCUUAACUCGGGUGCUGCUUCUAAAACUGUAAGACUUGAGUGCAGUAGAGGUGAGUGGAAUGCCUAGUGUAGCGGUGGAAUGCGUAGAGAUUAUGAGGAACACCAGAGGCGAAGGCGGCUAACUGGACUGCAUCUGACGCUGAGGCACGAAAGUGUGGGGAGCAAACAGGAUUAGAUACCCGAGUAGUC